CCACACGUCAGUGACCCCUCUGCAAGUACCUCCUCCUUGGAAGGCCCCGCCGCCCCGUCCGCCUUGUGUCGCGUCGUCCCGUGCCCCAUGGAUCCACGGGAGCAGGCGGGCAAGGUGGUGGUGAUGGGCGUCGCCCCAGCGGCACUGCUGGUGGACCCUGCCUCCGCGACCAAAAAGGCACGGUCGCGGAUGGAGCAGCAGUUCCGCACCCCUCCACAGGAAGUGCUGAGCCUCGGCUCAUGCCGUGACCUCCCCGGGUUCCUCGUCUCCAUGCCACAGGUGAGCCAAGGGCCAAGGCGGUAGAGAAGGGUAGCGACCGGCGGCAGCCAUCACCAUGGAUGAACGGCUCCUGGCGCCAUGAUGGAGAUCUACAAGAUGUGGACGAAAUCGAUAUAUAGUUGACAUAGUUGACGUUUUUGUGUGGACACAUAACUUAAGAACAAUUUAAAAGGUGUGACCCACGGAAAAAGAAAAGGAGAGACAAAAAAAUAGAGACGGAGAUAGAAUGCUAAAAUAAAAUAAUAAAUUUAGAAAUAAAAACAAACUAAAAGUAGCAAUAAUAACUAUCUUAAUAUAAAAUUUAAACCUUAUAAUACCAACUAUUUUGAGACUUAGAAUGUCUUCAAUUGUAGUCUCUUCUAAAAAAAUUC
rnacentral:misc_RNA from 1 species